CGCAAUGGCGAAGGACGCUUUCGCUGCGUUGAGGAAAAGUCGUUGAACGACAAACCCGGCUUUUAGCAAUGGAGUAAGAACGAUGAUGUGUGGGCGGAUAUAUUCACGCUGAAAACUUCGCUUGCUCAUGGCACUUGCGAUGAAGAAAGAGAGGGACUUUAUGUUCCACUUCGACGGACAAGUCAAAGGUAAGAAUAUUAUGCUUUGUAGGAGUAUUGCCUCAACAGCUACGGAAAAAGUUUGGUCUAUUUGUGUAUAAUUCCAGUUUAUUUCUUGUCGUUGAAUUGCUGGGCCAACAAAAAGGAGGGAAUUAACAUGAGCGGCCGGCCCAGGCUUAGAAGAGCUGGAACUUUACGACGAUCGUACUUCUACAAUAGUA